AAACUGUGGUGAGGACAAUCUCUCUGAUAGCCCUUGAAACGUUCCCAUGAAGCCUUGAAUGCUUCAAUUGGUCCUUGAACAAAAUAAGAGAUUUUCGCUCUCAACUCA
rfam:Arabis alpina cultivar Pajares Aa.chr2_contig_782, whole genome shotgun sequence.